rnacentral:rRNA from 1 species
UACGGGGGGGGCAAGCGUUGUUCGGAAUUACUGGGCGUAAAGGGCUCGUAGGUGGCCAACUAAGUCAGACGUGAAAUCCCUCGGCUUAACCGGGGAACUGCGUCUGAUACUGGAUGGCUUGAGUUUGGGAGAGGGACGCGGAAUUCCAGGUGUAGCGGUGAAAUGCGUAGAUAUCUGGAGGAACACCGGUGGCGAAGGCGGCGUCCUGGACCAACACUGACACUGAGGAGCGAAAACCAGGGGAGCAAACGGG